UUUUGAUUUUUUGUAUUUACAUAACCAUUCUUAUUGGCAACUCCUGUAUUUUUACCAUAGUAAGAAUUGAUUCCAGCCUGAACACUCCAAUGUAUUUUUUCAUAAGUAAUCUCUCACUUUUGGACAUCUGCUACUCCUCUGUCACUCUUCCAGUAAUGUUUUCCAAUUGUAUCUCUGGAAACAGAAAGAUUUAUUUCAGUAAAUGUAUUCUGCAGUUGUAUUUGUUUGUAUCUUUAGGUGGAGCGGAGUGUAUCCUACUAGCUGUGAUGGCAUAUGAUCGCUUUGUUGCUAUAUGCAACCCUUUGCGUUAUUUGAUAGUGAUGCACAACCGACUCUGCACAAGCCUAGC